GUCAAGAUUGCACCACUGCACUCCAGCCUGUGCAACAGAGACUCCAUCUCAAAAAGAAAAAAGAAAUUGCAAUCAAGCAAGACAGAAGAGAUCAAGGGCUCUGGUCAUCAUGUCCCCUUAACAACAUUCAGUGACUUGUAAUAGAGAGAGAGACUCAGGGCCAGGAAUGUGGCACUGGGCCUAGUAGGACUUUUUCUGACUUCUGGUUUAUAGGCAAUGCCCAAGGAGAUAAUGAGGGCCUUCAUUUGUCCCACCUCAAUAUCCACUGUCAUUCCUCUCUCCAUUUCCCUCCCUUUAAAAACAUUUUUAACCACUUCUGGAUUUAUUUUUCUGGAUCUGGAGCCUGAAACCCCAAAGAAGCCAAGGAACCAGGCUUCCUUCCUCUCCCCACGGACUUGUCUCUCGGGGAGGUGCCCAAAUCAGCAAAUCAGGAAGGCUGAUGGGGGGGCGGGUCAAAGUUGCACUAGGGGUCAAGCCAUUGGGUUCUCAGAUGGAAAUGGCCCUCAGAGGAUCUUGCUACUGAUCCCUCCUCUCUCUCAUGGUUGCUGGGCCUCAGGAGCCUUACCUGUGGCUUCCUGUCCCUCUCCUCCGGGGAUGGGUCUGUUUCUCUGUAUACGACAGCUUUGGUUACCAGCAUAUCAGGAUGCUGCAGUUUGGCCUCCUUGAUGGCCAAAGCCAGAGCCUGGUGGUAAAGAACAGCAAAGGAAGGAACCAUGAAAUAUCCAAGAUGAGACAGACUGUGAAGAACAGCAAGCCCUCUAGUGCACAGCUGGAGAAACUGAGGCCCAGGGAGGGGCAAAGUCAAACAAUUAAAGGGACAGACUAGAGCUCGGCUCUUCUGGCUCCUUCUGGCUCCCAUCCAAUGCCCCUUCCUUGGGGGUUUCUUAUCUGAACAGGGUCAGCAAGAAGUGGACACCUUCUCUGCCCAUGAGCGUAGCCAUCCAUGGGUAACCCGACAUAGGAGGGAUUGAGGACUGGGCAGUGGCACUGGGAAGAACGGUCCCUACCCCCAUACCUGGUCUUGAUCGACAUCUUCAUCCCCAGUAAUGAUGAUUCGCUUCUCGAUCCUCGUCUCAGAAAACCCUCCUUUCACAGUCUGCAGAGGGAGAGGGAGGUGAGGUCACUCUUGGGUCCUGUUGGGGCAGCAGCCUCAAGAGGGGACCUACCCAAAUCAUCUGUCAAGGGCAGGGUUGAGAACCAGCAGUUACCUUCUCUCCUGACUUCCUCAGAUUUUUUCUUUUCUGGUUUUGGACUUUGAACUGCAGAUCUUGUCUGGUUGCCACCACUCCCCAAAAAUACCAAACCACCCCAUCUAGGUCUUCCAAGCCCAGCUCCAAUGCUGCCUCUCAGACACUGGUUGGCAAUGCUUCUGCCUUCCUGCCUUGGUACUCCCUGAGUACUGAGUCUGUCUCUCUCACAGUUCUGGACCUCUCUGCCUGGUGCCGACCAUAUGUGUGUCUGUGGCCAUGUUCACCUCACCAGGCUGCCAGUUCUUGAAGGCAGGGUCUGUAUUUUGUUCAUCUCUGUAUCCCCUCCUCUCCCACUCCCUCACCCAGUCUAACCAGGGCAGUGCUGAAUGCAGAUUUGUUGAAUGAACACAUGAAUGAAAUGUGAAUGGUGACAAGGUUCUGCCUUGAACGACUUCCAACAAUACUACAAGAGAAAAUUAGAUUGAUGAUACUUAUGACCUCUGCUGUUUUCUGAAGGCACAGGAUUUGGACAAGUUUCGAAGUAAUAGCUGAGGCGGGACCUAAUUGUUUGGCAUGUUAAAGCAGGGUGGUGUCUGUGGGGAAUCCCAGCUGGAGUCAGGAGUGGAUAGAAAGAAGAGGGGGCUCCCAGUUGGCAGGGACUUUGGGAAGAAGAGUUUCCUGAACUGUCUGCUGUGGGCGUGGGAUGUAAAACCUCCCAUAAAGCUUUCAGAGAAGUCAACAUUGCUGAGUAAUGUUUUUAUUGAGAGUGGGUUCUCUGUGGGGUAUGUGAGAAAGUGCUGAAUCCUGCAGAGGCGCAGGCAGAGGCCAGGACAGUCUGUGCAUGAAGGCCUGGUGCAACUGACCAGAGUUCUCCUCUGAUGGCUCAUCAACCUGGCUGCUCCAGGCCUCCAGCCCUGGCUAGGCGCCCUCCUGCCUUCCUCCUGGCCACAUAGGUAUGGACACAUCAGCCCGCCUGCCUCCCAACUAGCCCUUGUCCUUAUUGCUGGGUCACCCAGGAAGGCUUCCCUCCUUUGUCCCUACCUCUUCCCGCCUGGGCUCCGACUCACACCCUGGUCCAGGCCCUCCCUAUCAGGCCUGAGUUAUUUACUAUUCGUCUCUCUCCAUACUUCUCCCUCUUCUUUCUCCCACCUAUCUAUACAUCCUGGUGGAUCUGAUAUUCUCUCCUUAAACCUAUUUUCAAUGGGUUACUCUCCAAUCUAAAAAUCUUCAUGGCUUUCCAAUCUCCCUGAGGCCCAGAUCCUCCAGAGUCAAAUGUGUCCUGGUAUUUGUUAUUUGCUCUAUAUUCCACCUCCCUGUCCCCAGUACAACCUAAUUUCCCAGAUACACCCCCUACAUGUGAUUCUCAUGUCCCGUAAACAGGCCUCACUUAUGGCUACAUCCAGCAGCCCCUGGCACAGAGGCCAACACAAAUAAAGUUGACACUCACUAACAUCUGCUCAACAAACAAACAAACAAAUAAGCAAACACACAAUUUCUGCUUCCCUCUUCUGCUUUGCUUAGAACACCUGCAUCUGUCUUCUCCUCCCUCAGGUGUCCUGCCUGGCUUUCCAAGACUCUACUCAGUCCCUACUUCUUCUAGGAGAUGUUUCCUGAUUCUUGCAGGGCCUCUCAUAUGUCACCCCAUCUAGAUUCCUCCAGCAUUUUCCAUCUACAAGGUGCACACGCCAUGGUUCACAGUUACUUGAAAGAGGAGAGUAUUGUUCCCUCUAGCCUGGCUGUCAACACCGUGUGGGAAGGGCCCGUGCCUAGAACAACAUGUGGCACAGGACAAAGCGCACAGUAUUCCAGAAACUGGUAAACACUACAGGUUUUCUCUGCCCACUUUACAGAUGGCGAAGCCAAAGCUGAACAACGGUUAUGACCUUCUCGCCUGCAGCUCGGCUGGGGGCAUGGGGCACCCUGCUGCUACUCACUUUGGUGACAUGGGUGGUGGUGGAGGUUGAGAGGGUUUCCGCAGUGGCGCCGUAGGUGCUGGUGAGGACAUCUUUCCCGAUGAUCUGCAGAAUAUAACCACCCCCCACCCAGGGUGUCAGGGUCACCGCACGCCAUCUACUGACCAAGGCAAGGAAGUGGUCUAAGACAAGAGACAAUGUGCAGCCACCAGGAUGGGUCCACAGGAAGGACUCCAGCCUCACCUUCAGAGUGGAGCUCGCCGAGAAGUACCAGCAAGGAAAUUCACGGCAGCGCUGAUCAUGAAUUGCACGAAACAAAAACAACCACAAGGCAUGCCAUUGGGAGACAGUGAAAUAAAUCAAGAUUUGCCUCCUAAGUGAGAUGAACAAGAGUAAGGUGGGUCUAUGUAGGCCAACAAGGAGUGAUCUCCAAAAUAAUUACUAAGAAGAAAGGUAAGGUGUAAGAAAAUGAUCGCUUCUGUGUAAACAUUGUUAAGUAUAUAGAGAUGUAGGUAUCUGUGUUGGAAUAGGCUUAUAUAUUUUUCUGGGUGGUAAUAUAAGAAAAAUCCCAUUUUUCUGUUUGAAUGGUAUAACUAUAAACUUUUUUUUGUUGUUUUGUUUUUAUGUCGAUAAGGGUUACUGGGCUGUGGGAUCUAGGGCCAAUUUUAGUUUCUUUAUACUUUUCUGUGGGAAAACACAACAGAAACACGUGUUACUAAAACAAAACAGGUCAGGGGGGAAAGCAGCUUGCCCAAGGUCACACAGCUCACCAGAACUCAAGAGUCCUGACCUGUAGUAGGCGGCCUCAUAAACUCCUACUAUCAUUAUAAAAGUGGGAGAAAAAAACUCUGGAAACAAAAAGAAUUGCCCAUGUUGUAUUGGUUUAUGUCUUAUUUCAGUUUUCUCUUUGUCUCUCUUUUUUCCCCUGUCACCCAAGCUGGAAUGCAGUGGUGCAAUCCUAGCUCAUAGUUCACUGCAACCUCGACCUCCUGGG